AGGGAUGUAGCUCAGUGGCAGAGCACUUGCCUGCUAUCAGCAAGGCCCUGGGUUCAAUCCCCAGCCUCACAA
rfam:Heterocephalus glaber contig272728, whole genome shotgun sequence.